rnacentral:rRNA from 1 species
ACGUAGGGAGCAAGCGUUGUCCGGAUUUACUGGGCGUAAAGGGCGCGUAGGCGGUCUGUUAAGUGAGUACUAAAAUCUCCAGGGCUCAACCCGGAAACCGGUUCUCAUACUGACAGACUUGAGGAAGGCAGAGGUAACUGGAAUUCCUGGUGUAGCGGUGAAAUGCGUUGAUAUCAGGAGGAACUCCAAUGGCGAAGGCAGGUUACUGGGCCUUAUCUGACGCUGAGGCGCGAAAGCGUGGGUAGCAAACAGGAUUAGAUACCCUGGUAGUCCACGCCCUAAACGAUGGAUGCUAGUCGUAAGAGGUAUCGACCCCUCUUGUGACGCAGCUAACGCAUUAAGCAUCCCGCCUGGGGAGUACGGCCGCAAGGUUG